UACAGAGGGUGCGAGCGUUAAUCGGAAUUACUGGGCGUAAAGCGUGCGUAGACGGCUAUCUAAGUCGGGUGUGAAAGCCCCGGGCUCAACCUGGGAAUUGCAUUCGAGACUGAAUAGCUAGGGUACGGUAGAGGGAAGCGGAAUUUCCGGUGUAGCGGUGAAAUGCGUAGAUAAUCGGAAGGAACAUCAGUGGCGAAAGCGGCUUCCUGGACCAGUACCGACGUUCAGGCACGAAAGCGUGGGGAGCAAACAGG
rnacentral:rRNA from 1 species